UCCCUCACCCAAUCCCCUCCCGUGCUCCCCUCGACCCACCAAGGCUGUCCUCAACGAGCACGAAUCUUCCCACAAGGAUCCUCUCAUGGUGUAAAGCAGGUCCCCUCAACCAUGAAUCCAUGGGUCAGUCCAAGGUCGGGAGAGUCGGUGCUCAUCACCCAGAUUCCUUUGCUUGUUAUAUAGUAUGAGCCACCAAGGUUUGUUUCACAUGUCAUCUCAUAACUUACUGCCUAUACUGCAUGCUUAGGAUGAUCUAAUGCCAUAGAACAAGAUACUCACCAUUUAACAGCAGGACCAGAUCUUUUAAAACUGAAUAGUCAUAACUCUGGAUUGAUGAUGUGGCUAGCGCUGGAUAUUUUGAUUAGAUAAGGUACAUUUGGUGUAGGUUGAUCUCAAACUUUACGGAUGGUUUCUCCCUCUCUAUGAUAUGUUUAUCUGGGAAUAUAUAUACAUAUAUCUGUCGUGAUUCACCAUGCAGAUUCCCCAGCUCAAAGACUUUUGCAGCAGAGGUAGCAUAGGUAUCUGCAUAAUCCCAGAGAAAGUUAUAUAUUUCUUCUUCCUU